GCGUUCUUUGUGUAGUGGUGAACACACUCGACUCGUAAACGAGAGGUCCGUGAUUCAAUUCCUGGCGAAAGCU
rnacentral:tRNA from 1 species